UACGUAGGUGACAAGCGUUGUCCGGAUUUACUGGGCGUAAAGAGCGCGUAGGCGGUCGAUCAAGUCGAGUGUGAAAGCCCCCGGCUCAACUGGGGAGGGUCAUUCGAUACUGAUCGACUCGAAGGCAGGAGAGGGUAGUGGAAUUCCCGGUGUAGUGGUGAAAUGCGUAGAUAUCGGGAGGAACACCAGUGGCGAAGGCGACUACCUGGACCGGUAUUGACGCUGAGGCGCGAAAGCCAGGGGAGCAAACGGG
rnacentral:rRNA from 1 species